GACGAACGCUGGCGGCGUGCUUAACACAUGCAAGUCGAACGGAAAGGCCCUGCUCUUGUGGGGUGCUCGUGUGGCGAACGGGUGAGUAACACGUGAGUAACCUGCCCUUGUCUUUGGGAUAACUUCAGGAAACUGGGGCUCAUACCGGAUAGGAGCUCCUGCUGCAUGGUGGGGGUUGGAAAGUGUCGGCGGUUCGGGAUGGACUCGCGGCUUAUCAGCUUGUUGGUGGGGUAGUGGCUUACCAAGGCUUUGACGGGUAGCCGGCCUGAGAGGGUGACCGGCCACAUUGGGCCUGAGAUACGGCCCAGACUCCUACGGGAGGCAGCAGUGGGGAAUAUUGCACAAUGGGCGGACGCCUGAUGCAGCAACGCCGCGUGCGGGAUGACGGCCUGCGGGUUGUAAACCGCUUUCGCCUGUGACGAAGAGUGAGUGACGGUAAUUGGUAAAGAAGCACCGGCUAACUACGUG
rnacentral:rRNA from 1 species